AGAAUCAACGCUGGCGGCGUGCCUAACACAUGCAAGUCGAACGCGGUUACCCCGCAAGGGGUAACUGAGUGGCGAACGGGUGAGUAACACGUGGGUGACCUACCUUCGAAUGGGGGAUAACGUCCCGAAAGGGACGCUAAUACCGCAUAACAUCCUGCCUUUGAACAGGCGGAGAUCAAAGCCGGGGAUCGCAAGACCUGGCGUUUGAAGAGGGGCCCGCGUCCGAUUAGCUAGUUGGUGAGGUAACGGCUCACCAAGGCGACGAU
rnacentral:rRNA from 1 species